GAUGAAGAACGCAGUGAAAUGCGAUAAUUAAUGUGAAUUGCAGAAUUCAGUGAAUCAUCGAGUCUUUGAACGCACAUUGCGCCCCCUGGUAUUCCGGGGGGCAUGCCUGCCCGAGCGUCAUUGCUGCCCUCAAGCACGGCUUGUGUGUUGGGCUUCCGUCCCUGGCAACGGGGACGGGCCCAAAAGGCAGUGGCGGCACCAUGUCUGGUCCUCGAGCGUAUGGGGCUUUGUCACCCGCUCCCGUAGGUCCAGCUGGCAGCUAGCCUCGCAACCAAUCUUUUUAACCAGGUUGACCUCGGAUCAGGUAGGGAUACCCGCUGAACUUAAGCAUAUCAAUAAGCGGAGGA
rnacentral:misc_RNA from 1 species